UACGAAGGGUGCUAGCGUUGUUCGGAAUUACUGGGCGUAAAGCGCGCGCAGGCGGCUAUCCAAGUCAGUGGUGAAAGCCCGGAGCUUAACUCCGGAACUGCCAUUGAAACUGUUUAGCUUGAGUAUGAGAGAGGUGAGUGGAAUUCCCAGUGUAGAGGUGAAAUUCGUAGAUAUUGGGAAGAACACCGGUGGCGAAGGCGGCUCACUGGCUCAUUACUGACGCUCAGGCGCGACAGCGUGGGGAUCAAACAGG
rnacentral:rRNA from 1 species